CCUACGGGUGGCUGCAGUGAGGAAUAUUGGUCAAUGGCCGUAAGGCUGAACCAGCCAAGUCGCGUGAAGGAAGAAGGAUCUAUGGUUUGUAAACUUCUUUUAUAGGGGAAUAAAGGUAUCCACGUGUGGAUAUUUGCAUGUACCCUAUGAAUAAGCAUCGGCUAACUCCGUGCCAGCAGCCGCGGUAAUACGGAGGAUGCGAGCGUUAUCCGGAUUUAUUGGGUUUAAAGGGUGCGUAGGCGGGCAUUUAAGCCGGCGGUCAAAUGUCGGGGCUCAACCCCGGCCUGCCGUCGGAACUGGGUGCCUUGAGUGGGCGAGAAGUAUGCGGAAUGCGUGGUGUAGCGGUGAAAUGCAUAGAUAUCACGCAGAACCCCGAUUGCGAAGGCAGCAUACCGGCGCCCUACUGACGCUGAGGCACGAAAGUGCGGGUAUCGAACAGGAUUAGAUACCCUUGUAGUC
rnacentral:rRNA from 1 species